ensembl:snRNA U6 U6 spliceosomal RNA
UUACUUCAGCAGCACAUAAACUAAAAAUUGUAACAAUACAGAAAAGAUUAGCAUGGCUCCUGUGCAAGGAUGACAUGCAAAUUUAUGAAGCAUUCCAUAUUAAA